rnacentral:lncRNA from 1 species
UUUUUUUUUUUUUUUUUUUUUUUUUUUUGUCAACACAGGGGUGUCCGGGUCAAGACCCGAAGGCGGCCCGACUAAUCCCCUGCGCCUGGAGUAUAGCGCCACCCCAACCGCACCCAGGCGUUAGGUGAGGUUCGAUCCCACGACCUUGCGAAUGGUUUUCCAGCCGCAGACCGGGUGAUCUAACCCCGGGGGCGUAUUUUUAGUGUUUAAAAGUGUUAUUUUUUACAAACGCAACGCAACCUUAAAAGAGCUUUAGUAGUUUGGAAUAUGGAUCCAAGGUCUUGGUUUGGUUUGAGUUCGCUGUUGUGUGAUGUGGAAGUACCGAGGUUCUCUUGGAUGCCAAAACAAUUAGACGAAUGAAAGCCCACAGAUGAAUCAGUACCAGGCCAGAUUAGUGGCCCAUAUUGAUAUAUUCCACUUGAAAGAUAGUUGAUACCAAGAACUUGGGUCAUCUCCGUAUCGGUCGGAAUAUGCCCAAGCGAAUGUCGAAUCAUGGUGUACUACUACAGCCUUCGGCCCCUCGGUGACCAAACACCUGAGUUCGGCCACCAUCGCCCCGCCAAUCCCAGAUGAGAGAAUACAAUAUAGGGAUAAUUUCAGAAAGAUUUCUGACAAUUUCAUUGAGCUUCCUGAAAUUUGAAAAAUUAUACAUACCUCCCUUAUCAUUUCAAAUGAUAAUUUUGCCCUUAAAUAUUUUAAUGAAAUUUCUUAUUUGACAGAUUUUUUUUUGUUAAAAUUACGCUGUAUUCUUUUUUGGCAAUUAUUUUAUGAUUUUUUGUACAUGAAGUAAUUUUGUUUUCAAUUAAUUUGUUUAGAAAGUAGAUUAUUUAUCAAAUUUAUUUAUUUAUAUUAUCAAUACAUUUCCUAACCACCUUUUAUAAAAAAAAAUACUAUAAUAUUUUUUCAAAAAAUUAUUUCAAAUAAUUUACUAUCCAAACACAUGCACUGUAUUUUUUUUAGAGUCGGAAAGGUAUCCCUACCCCCUAAUACAUCCCUCUAAUUUAAAUAAAAAGGUCAAAAGAAAGAAUCGCAAAACGACGUGGUAUCAGACUAAGCGUCGCAGCUAUCACUCUUGCACUUCGACAUCGAUCCGAAGUUCCAAACGCCGUCGUCCGGGAAAACACGAUACACUUAUCCCGCUGCAAACCUGUGUCCGAAAACGCUACUAAAGUAAAAACCAAUUUUCGUCUGCUCCAGUUUUCUGGCUCCUCAUCAUCGGCAACGGACUAAACCCUCCCGUCGCGGAAGUCAGUGGAGUUUCUCUUCUUGCUUCAAUUCUUUUAGUCGAUAAUUUUUGAAUUUUGCCGCUUUUUCAAAAAUAUAAACCCUAGUCCACAAGGCACCCCACCGCACUCGAAUUCAUCGGCUUCCUUCUGGAAAUUGCACUUCUUAAUGAUAAUUUUACUGUAAUUUUUGUUUAAAAAAUCAGGUUCUUCAAUUGGACUUUCAGGUUAGAGCAGCUGAUUCAGCUCCGGGAAUUUUCUUCCACCGCUCUCCUCAUGGUAAUUUUCCAAAUUAACGAAUUCAACUUCUUUAUUGGAAUCUUAAUUUUGCUGAUUUAUGUUGUAUAUCGUAUAAUAUCAUUCUAAAAUUAACUUGCUGAAGUAAAGUUUAGGUUUUUAUUGUUUUAAGGUUUUUGUGCUUUCUAUUGCCAGCUGUUAUGACUGUUUAUUGCUUUGUGAAUUAAUAUGUUCGCUUAUGGAAAAUAGAUGGUCGUAGUAGUUUUAUGCUUAUCUACUGUGUCGUAAAUUUCAAAGUGACAAUAGAUUUAUUGGUCGCAGGCUACCCUUGCUGAUUCAUUCCUGGCAGAUCUUGAGGAAUUGUCUGAUAAUGAAGCUGAUAGUCUUGUGAGUGCUUUUUUUCUUCACAUUUCACGGCUUUCACCAUUUAUGCUUUCUUUGUUCCUCAAAGAUGCAUGAAUUUUCUGUUGGACGAUGACAUUUGCCUUGAGUUUUGGGAUUUAAUUGGGUAUGUGCUUUUUCAGAAUGAGGAUAAUGGGGAUGCCGAGCAAAUGGAAGAAGAUGUUGAUGGGGACUUGGCAGACAUCGAAGCUCUGAAUUAUGAUGACCUGGACAGUGUCUCCAAGCUACAUAAGACACAGCGGUAUAAUGAUAUAAUGCAGGUUAGCUAAAAUUUUUAUUUGAUCAUCAUUUCAUUUUCGUGUUACAACUCCAUUAUUACAUUUUUUUCCCACUUAUGGUUGAUCUGCAUACUGCCUUGGAUAAAUUAGUUGUUGGUUCUUAUGUUGCAGAAAGUUGAAGAUGCACUUGAGAAGGGGUCUGACAUUUCCAAUCAAAGCAUUGUUUUGGAGGAUGAUCCUGAGUAUCAGUUGAUUGUAGACUGCAAUGCAUUGUCAGUUGAUAUUGAGAAUGAAAUUGUCAUAAUCCACAAUUUUAUUCGUGAUAAGUAUCGCUUGAAGUUUCCAGAACUAGAAUCUCUGGUUCAUCACCCGAUUGAUUAUGCUCGUGUGGUUAAGAAAAUUGGAAAUGAGAUGGAUCUUACCCUUGUUGAUCUUGAAGGUCUUCUGCCUUCGGCCAUUAUCAUGGUUAUUUCAGUUACUGCAUCAACUACCAGUGGAAAGCCACUUCCAGAUGAAGUCUUGCAGAAGACAAUUGAUGCAUGUGAUAGAGCUCUCACUCUAGAUUCAGCCAAGAAAAAGGUCCUUGAUUUUGUGGAGAGUCGGAUGGGGUAUAUUGCUCCUAAUGUUUCGGCUAUUGUUGGAACUGCAGUUGCUGCAAAACUCAUGGGAACGGCUGGUGGUCUUUCUGCACUGGCAAAGAUGCCUGCUUGCAAUGUACAGCUUCUUGGUGCCAAGAGGAAGACCUUAGCAGGGUUUUCAACGGCAAAUUCCCAAAUCCAUGUUGGUUAUCUUGAGCAAAGUGAAAUAUUUCAGAGUACGCCACCUACCUUGAGAAAACGUGCCUGUCGACUCUUGGCUGCAAAGUCUACCUUGGCAGCACGUAUAGACUCUAUAAAAGGUGAUUCAACUGGGAAAGUGGGAAGAUCUUUACGUGAUGAAAUUCUCAAAAAGAUAGAGAAAUGGCAAGAACCCCCUCCUGCAAAGCAGCCUAAACCUCUGCCUGUUCCUGAUUCUGAGCCCAAGAAAAAGAGAGGUGGUCGAAGGCUGCGGAAGACGAAAGAGAGGUAUUGCAGAUUUUUUUCUUUCUCUACGGAUUAAUUAAAGUUAGCUUUCUUCAGUUUGAAAGUUUCAGAGUUAAUGUAUUCCUUUACUUUGAUUCAGAUAUGCUUUGACAGACAUGAGGAAGCUGGCAAAUAGGAUGGCUUUUGGAGUUCCUGAAGAGAGCUCUUUGGGUAAUGAUCAUCAUCCACCUAAAAUUCAUCGAUGAAUGCGAUUCGAGUCAUCUAUCUACUUUAUAGAGUUGCUAUUGUAAAUUGCUCGAAGCUGAAUGUUCAGUUUUAGACAUAAAGUAAUGCAAGUGCUUGCUGCCAAUCAUGGUAGUUUAUGUUACAAGCAAAUAGAUUAUACUUCUGAUUUCAUGCUUGGAAUCUUGAAAAAGAGGAGAGGAAUCAAUGUUCGUAAGUGGUAACUUAGAACAAGGUCAUAAUGGUUAUGCUUUGCCUGUUGGGAAAGCAGUGAAGCUUUGAGAUUAUGACAUCAAACUGUUUCCCCUUAGUGGUAAAAACGUGCUUAUGCAAAUAUGUGCUGCUAUUUGCGUGUCUAAUAUGUCUGGCUGUUCCAUCUAUUACCUUAUUUUGAAAGACAUAUAAAAGCAAAUCUGUGUUGCUACUUAUGUUCAGAAGUUCCAUGCAUGUAUAAUUUUUGUGCUAUGACUAUUCUGUCAUGGGAUGGAGUCCUUCUCACUGUUUAUAUUGUCCAUGGGAAUAGGUGAUGGGCUUGGCGAAGGGUAUGGAAUGCUUGGUCAAGCUGGUAGUGGAAAAUUGCGUGUAUCAUCAGCUGGUCCUAGCAAGCUUUCUGCAAAAGUAGCUAAGAAGUACGUCUCUUCUUGCCUCUUCAUCUGUUUCUGAUUCCUCCUAGUGGAUCUAAGUUGCAGCCUUUUUUCCCUCCUUAAAAAAUUAUUUUCUGCUGAUUUGGCGAUCAUUCUGAUUUCUACGUGUAGUUUUCGGCCUUAUAGUCUUCAUAUGUUUCUAGGUUCAAGGAAAAGCAGUAUGGAAGCAGUGGUGCUACCUCAGGACUUACCUCCAGUUUAGCCUUCACACCUGUGCAGGUUUGAUGCAUUACUGACUAUUUAAUCUCCUAGUAACUCUUGAGCCUCACUAUUUGUAAAGUAAUCAGCAUGAAUCAAGCAACCAGAUGGCUUAGGUACUUUCUUAGGUCUUGAGGGUAGUGUUAUCUUUUCUACUCCCAUUAUUUAUCAGUUUCUCAUCUGAGCAAAGGCAUAAGAUUGAACAAAUCGAGAAACUUGAAGUCAGAAGAAUAUGAUUCUUCUUUUAAAUGGUUGUCCUUUUGUCCAUAUAGACUUUGGUAAGAAUCCUUUAAGAGAGUUCUUUUAUCAGUUGCAGUUUAUAGUUCUCUAUUUAGACCUUUUAAGCAUAAGCUGCUUCAUGUAGAAACUGAACUGUGAGGUGUGUUGGACUGUUAGUGGCCUUGUGCUAUGAGUUGGUGUCGAACUAUGAUGCAAAGAUUCCGUUAUGCAUGAUAGAACUUAGAAGAUACAGUGAAGUUACAUAAACUUCUCAAACUAAGUCAUCUGUUUAACUAUUUAAGUGGAUGAAGUAGCCAAUCUGUCUGUUUUGGGGAUGUGAUAUGAUUUUGUUUUUGCCUAUGGGUUCGAAACAAAAUGGUUGUUGUUUUUUUCCCCUUUUUUCUUUUGGGUGGCUGGAACAAUUUUUUUGUCCUCGCAUAUGUAAUAAAUACAUGCCUAGUAUUGUUGCUUUAAGUCGAUACUUGUCUAGUAUUGUUGCUUUAAGUCGAUCUUUGUUCUCUUUCUCCUCCUUAGAGGCCCAAUGCUCCUUCACCUUUUGUUGAAGAUCUUGCUUUUUAUGUUUCAUAGGGGAUUGAGCUUAGCAAUCCUCAAGCACUUGCAAAUCAGCUUGGAAGUGGAACUCAAAGCACCUAUUUCUCGGAAACUGGUACAUUUUCAAAGAUAAAGCGGACAUGAAUGAAGCAUUUGGAGGCACGCAGCAGUGGUUUCAAUAUUCAAUUUUCCUUUACUUUCAUGAGAUUCAGACGAUGGAUGGUGAUUUUCUUGGGAGUAAGAGGUUUUAUGUAGGCACCACCUCGUGAAUACGAGAGGUUCCUAGUAUUGGUUGAAUGUACAUACUUUUUACCUGAUGUAACCUUCUCGGGAUGCUGAUCACAUUGUAGGAUUAUGUUGUUGCACUUAAUCAUUUAUUUGACUAAGUGUGUCCAUUUAUGUGUUUGAGUUUUGAAGAUUUUGGUAAUUAUCACCGUGUAAAGGUCUGUGACUGAAGAAGAUUAUUUUACCAGUACGAGGCAUAGUUUGCACGGCUGGCAAGACAACCCUUUUUUUUUUCUUUUGGGUUGAGAACUCAAAAGAAAAUUUAUUUAAAUUACAAAAUCAUCGGGGCAAUCUUCUUAAAGAAGUGGCUAAUUUGAUCCACCUGUGUUAAUGACAAAAACUCCCUUUAUGAUUUGGCAGAGUUGCAGUUUACUCCUUAAAAUAAUUACGUGCAUGGUGAUUUUGGACAGAGAAUUUUGCUAUGUUUGGAUUGCUUGUUUCUGUCGGAAAAUAUUAUCGUUUUCCGUGAUCACAUUUCCCUAUCACUUUUUUCCCUCACAUAUAUCAAAUCGCUGCAGUAAUUUUUCCAUGAAAAAUGACAAAAAAUGCAAUCCAAACACAACCUAAGUCUUCCAAUUAAAAUUCAAUAAAAAAUAUUUUAUUGUAAAAAAUCAAAUCUUGUAAUUUGAACAUCAAAAGAAUCUGGGAUAACUUUAGAAGCCUACCCUGAGGUUUCUGAUAAUUUCACUGAGCUCCUCUGAAGUUUGAAAAAUUAUACUUACCUCCCUUGAUUUGAUAGUUUUGGUAACAAAAUUUUAAAAUAAUAUUGAUUUGGUCAAUUAUUUUUAAUGAAUACCCAAAAAUAUCCUUGUGUAAUGAGUUUUAAUUUAUUUUCCUGUACAAUUAUAAGAUUAUCUAAUAUCAUUAUAAAAAAAAAGGUGCCAAAUUUUUCAUGUUCAUACCUACUAUUUGAUAAACAACUAUAAUAAUAAUUUUAUCACUAUGAUAGGAUACUUUUGAUGGUACUUUUUUAUUAUGGAUUUAGAUUUAUAAGAUAGAAAAGAAAAUGUUGAAAUAAUUCAUUUAGAGUUUAUGAAUUUUUCGGGUAGUGGAAUUAUCAUAAUUUGGUAGUGAUUUUGGGCCAUUUUUUUUUUAAUUUAGUACCAAAAAAUAGAAAACAAAGAUCAGCAAAAACAUUGGAUUACAUAUAAAAUUAAUUUGUUAAAAAAAUCACUAGUUCGAUAUUUGGUUACAAUAAAAACUAGAAGGGUAUUUUCAUCAAUUCAAAUGUUUUAAUAUUCAACCUGAUGAGUGUGACUGAAAUAGAGGGUACAGUACGAAGAAAUAAGCGAUAGAGAACAGACCACACAACUUUGGAUCAAAUGGUAAGGGAGUUUUUGUCUUUAAGCCAAAUAUGAACAACGAAAGUUUUGGCCAAACGGUGCUUAUAAUGUUGCCCAACUUUUGACAAGUAAUACGUGUCAUCCCAUGUUAGAAGGAUUAUUCCAUGAUUACUGGAGAAAUGAUCUUAUGGAAGAUGUAAGAUUAGGGGUUCCAAGAUUACAACAUGACGAGAUAACAAGACAAGACCAAUAUCUACGUCUUCCUUUUGGAGUUCAGCAAACUGAAAUCCUAGUUACCAUAUACUUACCAAACAUGACGUAGAACAGGAGAAAAAAUAAAUCCUUCGUAAUCCAAUGCGGUGCAGGAGUAGCAUUUAGUCAUUCAACUGUUUUCGUCCACUUGAACAAUAGGACAAGAGUUAUAUUAGUCAUCAAAAUUCAAAGAUAAGCUUUGAUCCACCCCAGGCUUACUACGUACUACUUGUAUUUAUUCCAACGGUUCUGACCCAAUAACAACAACAAAGAAAGAGCUCAUCAUAAUGCUGGCACCCUAUUCUUGCAAUCUUAUCUACUUUAUUGAUGGAUUGAAAUAAAGUGAAAAGUCCACUAAUUAUCAAUCAUGCUUCUUUUCAUACUUACAUGUCAGCAAAAGCAUUGCAACCAAACCAAAUGAUGUUUGGUAAGUCAUCCCAUUCAGCUCUUCACCAUCGCGUGCAACCAAUUUCCAUAUUCUCGGAGUUUACUAUUAUAUAUUUAUUAGCUCCGUCUUGCUUGGGAUGUCAAUUUUUUAUAAAUAUGAUGGUCUUAUUUGACAAGCAAGUUUCUAGUCAAAGUUUAUCUGCUAUAAAUUUUUUAAUAAUUUUAAUUAUAGUAAUCUCAAAAAAAAUUUUAAAAAUUUUAAAUUAUAAAUUUCAAAAAUUUAUGCAUUUAAAAAAAAAAUUUUACAACUUUUACGGUAAAUUACAGUAAAAUUUUAGACAGACACUCAAAAAAACUCACUUGUGAAACGGAGCCCAAUAUUUGUUAAUCAACUUUUUAAGUUACGUAUAUUAAAUUACUAUAAUAUUAUUUUUAUAAAAACUCUUGAAAAUUACAAUCCAAUCAUGAUCCAUUUGACAUUUUUUUAAUCAUUCCUUCUCUCUCAUUCAUAUCUCCUGUAUCUAUUAUAUUCAUCCUUCCACUGUCCCGGAUAAAGAAAAAGGUACCAACUUCAUACGACUCUUCUCCAGAAAAGAAAUUUACCAAAAACCGGAAGAAAUUUUUUUUAAAAAAAAGGUUGGUGCAGCUACGAAUAAGUAGUCUUGACUUCUCAGAGUUUAUUGGAUUGAAGGCUAGGAGAAGAAUGGCGGCUAAAAGGGUCUCAUCGCUUCUGCUCUCUCGUUCUUUUACAUCUUCUCUUGCUUCCCGGCUAACCGGAGGUAUUCAUUCAUACACCUGUCUAUGUAUGUUCACGCAUGUAUAGCAUUGUAUAUACGAUCCUCGACAGUAUUUGGAUGAAACGUGUAAGUAUUCACGUGAAGUUGUGUUGGGAGACGUUAAAGUGAAGUGGAUGAUUUUUGUCGUUUCAUCUGACUGAUCGGUGAUCGCCCGUCUAUCUCUGUUUUCAUCACUUUCCGUUCUUUUCUAGUAAUUUGUUUAUCCAUCACAUAUGUUUUGUUUUUAGAUCUUUUUUAUCUUCUUUAAUCAUGUAUAUGAUGAAACCGAUCUAUGUUGGGAUAGACAGGUUCAUUGUGACUCUGUACUGUAGUGCACUGUUGAAAUUCUUGGUCAAAGAUGAGAAGCUAGAAAGGCAAAUAGUGAAUGACUGAAGAAUGAUGCAGCAGAGCAAUUUGUAAAUUUUUAGUAGAGUUCUUAUUUGGACUGCUUUUGAAAUGUGAAAUAAUUUACUUGGAAGAUAUAUUUCCUGCAUUCAUUCAUGGGGUUCAGUCUAUAUUCACUUUGAUGACUACGUAAAACAGGAACUUUCUGAUUGCCUUCCUGUAAUAUGCAACCUGAUCUGGUUUUCUUGUCAUGAAAUUUACCGGCAAAAAAUUAGAUGAUGUCAGAUGCACAAAAGCGACACUUAACACACGAUGAUGGAUUUACAAUUUUCUGCCAAAUAUGAUGUCGAUUUUUGUCAAGGUCUUUUCUUGACACUUGAUUAUAAGCUUAAUGCCUUUGUACUGUUUACUCUGUUCUCUCAAGCUAGAUUGUGAUAAUGUGAUACUUAGAUUCUAAUAUGCCAUUGUGAGUAGCUGUUGCCUGAUUCAUCUGUUAAACUAAGUCGUUGACUAUUUUGCUCAGGAAAAAGUGCUUGCCAAGCAAGAGCAAUUUCUCGGUAUAGCACUGCUGCUGCUCUCGAGGAGCCAAUUAAGCCACCGGUUAAUGUGGAAUACACUAAGCUUCUCAUUAAUGGUCAAUUUGUUGAUGCAGCCUCAGGUGUGAUUUUUGUCGCAAUGCUUGCCAUUAUGUGUACUCCUCUUCCAUCGCCUUUUACUAUAUUUUUAGUUUUUGCUUUCUUCUCACUACCAGGGAAGACAUUUCCAACUCUGGACCCUAGAACAGGGGAAGUGAUUGCGCAUGUUGCUGAAGGUGAUGCAGAAGAUGUCAACAGAGCUGUGGCUGCUGCUCGCAAGGCUUUUGAUGAAGGACCCUGGCCCAGGCUGACUGCUUAUGUAAUCAAUUGUCUUCCUCGUUCUUGAAUGAUUUCAAUGGAGAACUAUUUUGAUUAUGUUUAUUGCUCGUGGUGCAGGACCGGCAAAGAAUAUUGCUACGCUUCGCUGAUUUAGUUGAGAAGCAUAACGACGAAAUUGCAGCACUAGAGACUUGGGAUAAUGGCAAGCCAUAUGAACAAGCAGCUAAAAUUGAAGUUCCUAUGUUUGUGCGCCUCAUGCGAUAUUAUGCUGGUAGGUACAUUGGGCUCUCUGCCAAUUUUGUUGUUCUAUGUGACUGCUCUAUGUGGCAUCGCAUGAUUUUUAAUCUAUCUGCUCUUCAGGUUGGGCCGACAAGAUUCAUGGGAUGACCGUUCCUGCUGAUGGACCUUAUCAUGUUCAAACUCUGCACGAACCCAUUGGUGUUGCUGGACAAAUUAUUCCGUGGAACUUCCCUCUCCUAAUGUAUGCUUGGAAGGUUGGGCCUGCAUUAGCAUGUGGCAACACCGUUGUGCUUAAGACAGCAGAGCAGACACCAUUAUCUGCUCUAUAUGUGACAAAGCUGUUGCAUGAGGUAACUGUCAAACCCAGAACUUCGUUAGUGAAUGAACAACUGUUCAUUUCAAGUAAUGUUGCUUUACUUUUCCAAUCCUGUGAUACGGAACAGAAUUUAAGUUUGUUAUCUCAUUUUUUCAUUGCCUCUUUUACAGGCUGGGCUUCCAUCAGGUGUUCUGAAUGUGGUGUCUGGCUUUGGUCCAACAGCUGGCGCAGCUCUUUGCAGCCAUAUGGAUGUGGACAAGGUAAAAUAUAGUGUCUCCGUAACUGACUGAGGUUUGCUGCAGAUAUUUUAAAAGAAUGCUUGUAUAGCCUAAUUUUGAGAGUUACAUGCUUUCCUUUAUUUUAGUCCCUUAGCUAAACAACUCGAGAGAAAAGAUCAUUCCACUACCUUUCCGUUGGUGGCUAGUGGUAUUUCUAGGUGCUACUUAAUAUCAUGGGUGUUAAAUGCCUUUGGCUACUGUUUGGAUUAUAAAGAGUGCAAUUGUUCUAACUUUGGUCAAAUCCCGUUUAUCACUGUUCUUUAUACUUUAGUAAGUUUGGUUCCUCUCUACUUUCAGCUUGCCUUCACUGGAUCAACAGAAACUGGAAAGAUUAUUCUUGAAUUGUCUGCUAGAAGCAACCUUAAGCCAGUGACUUUGGAACUUGGAGGCAAAUCUCCUUUUAUUGUUUGUGAGGAUGCUGAUGUGGACAAUGCUGUCGAGCUAGCCCACUUUGCACUUUUCUUUAACCAGGUAUCUACUACUUCUUGCUCCUCAAUCUGGUAGGUCGUGGAAGAUAAGUUCUACUGAUAGUCUAAGCAUGUUCUACUUAAUUCUCAGGGACAAUGUUGCUGUGCUGGCUCCCGCACAUAUGUUCAUGAACGUGUUUAUGAUGAAUUUGUGGAGAAAGCCACUGCACGUGCAUUGAAACGCAGUGUUGGAGAUCCAUUCAGGCAAGAAAUAGAACAAGGUCCUCAGGUAAACUUCUGAUUUGCUGUGACGGACAUUCACCAACAAAAGACUGAUCAUUACAUAUGCUGUCUCUAAUUUAACUAUUUCUUGGAAGAGUGCAACAUAGUUCAUUUAAUUGCUUUCCUCAGAUACAUGCAAAGCAGAGAUACAGAGAACUGCCAAAAUAUUGUAUUAGAAAGACCAGCAAUUAUUUUCCUUAAUGGCAUAAAAAUGCAAAAAAUUCCUUCUUUUCUUUGUCUUCAACUGAAAAAUAAAUUCAGCAUUUAUGUGCCAGGUUGACUCAGAACAGUUUGAGAAAAUUUUGAGAUAUAUUAGAGCUGGAGUCGAUAGCGGUGCUACCCUUGAAACUGGAGGUGACAGACUGGGUGAAAAGGGGUACUACAUUAAGCCUACUGUUUUCUCUAAUGUUCAGGUAAGUCUCUUCGGUGGAGAAACCUGUAAAUUUGCCACUGGAAGUUUCUGUAUGUCAUUACAUUGAUGCUCGCUGCAACGUGUAGGAUGACAUGCUGAUUGCUAAGGAAGAGAUUUUUGGUCCUGUUCAAACAAUCCUGAAAUAUAAGUAUGUUCAGGGAGAAUUUUUGACAUUCAUUCUGUUAUACGAGACAGCCGCAGAUAAAAUUUCUAAUCUCUCCUACAUGCAUUUUUGCAGGGAUCUUGAUGAAGUGACAAGGAGGGCAAAUAGCAGUCGAUAUGGUCUGGCUGCGGGGGUCUUUACGCAGAAUCUUGACACGGCCAACACACUGAUGCGAGCAUUGAGAGCUGGGACAGUAUGGAUCAAUUGCUUUGAUACAUUUGAUGCAGCAAUUCCUUUUGGUGGGUACAAGAUGAGCGGGCAGGGAAGAGAAAAGGGUGAAUACAGUCUCAAGAACUACUUGCAAGUGAAGGCUGUCGUUACUCCAUUGAAGAAUCCAGCAUGGUUGUGAAAUCCUUCUCGUUUGUUUUCUGUUUCUUGGGGGGAGAAAAAAAGUAAAUAAACGGGGGCCAUCCAAAUCUUGGCGCGCAAGUGCAAUGUGGUUGAUAAUGAUGAUAGUAUCUUAGGUUGCUAUUAGCGCUUGAGACAUUUGACUAUUGGUUCUUUCUCUUGGACGGAAAGUUUGAGUUGAAGUUUUACUCCGUUUUCAAAUCUUUUAAUGGUCCCGUUUUUGACAAAGAGUUCUGGCUAGGAUUGUAAUCUAUGCAAGCACCUGGGUCAAAAACUCGACUUGAACUCGUAUUGAUCGAGUUCGAGUCGUUUAAUAGAUCCUAACGAGUCGAGAUUAAGUAUCCAAUAGUAAGACUCGAAAGCUCGUCAAGUCUUAUCGAGUUUUUUAAUUUUAAUUUUUAAUAUAUUAUUAUUAUGAAAUUAUUCUUGUGCUCACCAGAGUAGUUAAAUUUACGAAAUGUUUUAGAUUGUAUGAAAUUUUUUGAAAUGUUUUUUCGCUUAGAAAUUACCAAAAAAAAUGAAAUUUCCAAAUCUUUUUUAUUCGAAUUCGAUAAAACUCGUUUUGACUCGAAUCCAUGCAAGUGGAGUUCAAGUUCUAUAAGCAAUGCAUUGGGCGCGAACUUGAGUUCCAAUAACACUGUUCGCUCGAUCUCGAGUAUCCUUCUUGUAAGUCGUGUCAAACUCGAGUAUGCCAAUACUCAAACUCGACUCAAUUACAUCUCUAAUUCUGACGUUAGUGAAUUUUUCUGAGACGUUGGGGCAGUCACCUCCGAAAGGGUCCAAGAUUAUUGGGCCCGAAUGAGGUCACUAUGAUGUUAGUGAAUUUUUCUGGGCCGUCGGGGCAGUCACUAGACUGAGGCCACUAGACGGCCGGAAUUGACCCCAGAAAUGAGAAAACAAGAAGAAUCUGGGCAACUAGCCGGUCAAGCGCGGACUAUUCUUUUAGGUUUCUUGUUUCUCACGGGUUAAUUUUGGACUCACGUAUCUUGUCGGCCCAGUAACUCACGCAUCUUGAUACAUGUGAAUUGUUCAUUUCUUUUCUUUCUUCUUUCGCAUUUGUAUUCCUACUUGAACUAAGACUUUCAUCCCAUAUAUGAAUAUGAAAGUUACAGGUGGUUAUAUUUUAGGUAACUACAAAUCAGACUUAAACCUAUCAUUUCAAGAGUCUCAUGAAAUCUUUGACGAGAAGGGAAAAAUAAAGAGCUAGCAGUUGGAUAGUCUAUUUUUGCAAGCGUUUGGUGGCCUACCUUCUGGACCGAAAGACAUCUCCUAACUUAACUACUAAAUCCCUGGACCGAAGCGUCAAGAAAAUUUCAAAUGACAGCUGGCAAUCAGGUCCAAGAUAACAUACAGAACCAACUUCCAUCCCAUGGCCCACCGCCUGACCUUUUUAACAAUUUCUGGGCCUAGUUACAACCAAUGAAUGCCAUGGCCCAUCAAGAGUAUCUGACUUUUCUCCCUUCCUUCCCAAGUAGAAAAGGGAACACGGAAAAGAGGAGGUGAGCAUAGCAUUAGAAAUCUUUCUUCAGGACUCACUGCACAAGGAGAUAAAGGGGUUUUUUUUUUUUUUUUUCAAUACUCGGUAUUUGUCUGGACAGACGAGGAUUACAUCACCAUCGGACCAAACGAGUGCACUACACAUCCGUCUGGAUUUAGAGAGCCACACCUGUAACAAUUAGUGGGAGGCAAGGUUUGAACUCUUGUCUCCCAUCCCACCAAGCCUUAAAGGCUUGAUGGUAGCCAAUUCCUUUAUUGGGAGUUGGUUGAGCCUAUGAGCUGUUCAGAAAUGCAUUUUUUUAAUACCUUCAAUCAAUGGCCAUAUGAAUGUUAUAAAGAAUGUUGUCCCCCCCCCCUCCUCUUCCCCAACCCCCACCACAAAAAAGAAGAGAAGAGAAAUGUUGUACAAUAUUAUUAAUUUCAAACGAAGAAUACAACAUCUAGGCCUAAGCUUGUCACUUCUUCCAAGGUUGCAUUUGCCACCUUAAUUUUACUCUGAACUAUGAAAAUAAAUAAAAAUGCAAAGACUGCUAUUUGGCAGUGGUGCAUUCUGGUGGUAGGACUUUGUAUCUGGAUUUAUCUUGGCAAUAGGAGUAAAACAUAUGCUUUCCUCUUGCCCAUUCCAAUCCUGUCGUUUGUAGCUGUGACAAUUUAGCAAACUCUUGUCCAUCCACAGGAUCCAGGCUUGAUACGCUCCUCUUUGAGCAUGCAGCUGAGUUCUCACGAAUGCAG